GAUGAACGCUAGCUACAGGCUUAACACAUGCAAGUCGAGGGGCAGCAUGGGUGUAGCAAUACACCUGAUGGCGACCGGCGCACGGGUGCGUAACACGUAUCCAAUCUACCCAAUGCUCGGGGAUAGCCUUCCGAAAGAAAGAUUAAUACCCGAUGGUGUCAUUUCAGGGCAUGCUGUGAUGACUAAAGAUUCAUCGGCAUUGGAUGAGGAUGCGUCCGAUUAGGUAGUAGGCGGGGCAACGGCCCACCUAGCCGACGAUCGGUAGGGGUUCUGAGAGGAAGGUCCCCCACACUGGAACUGAGACACGGUCCAGACUCCUACGGGAGGCAGCAGUGAGGAAUAUUGGUCAAUGGGCGCGAGCCUGAACCAGCCAAGUAGCGUGAAGGAUGACUGCCCUACGGGUUGUAAACUUCUUUUGCAUGGGAAUAACGUGGCCCACUUGUGGGCUAUUGCAUGUACCUUGCGAAUAAGCAUCGGCUAAUUCCGUGCCAGCAGCCGCGGUAAUACGGAAGAUGCGAGCGUUAUCCGGAUUUAUUGGGUUUAAAGGGAGCGUAGGCC
rnacentral:rRNA from 1 species